GACGAACGCUGGCGGCGUGCUUAACACAUGCAAGUCGAACGCUGAAGCUCAGCUUGCUGGGUGGAUGAGUGGCGAACGGGUGAGUAACACGUGAGUAACCUGCCCCCUUCUUUGGGAUAACGCCCGGAAACGGGUGCUAAUACUGGAUAUUCACUGAUCUUCGCAUGGGGGUUGGUGGAAAGGUUUGUUCUGGUGGGGGAUGGGCUCGCGGCCUAUCAGCUUGUUGGUGGGGUGAUGGCCUACCAAGGCUUUGACGGGUAGCCGGCCUGAGAGGGUGACCGGUCACAUUGGGACUGAGAUACGGCCCAGACUCCUACGGGAGGCAGCAGUGGGGAAUAUUGCACAAUGGGCGCAAGCCUGAUGCAGCGACGCCGCGUGAGGGAUGGAGGCCUUCGGGUUGUAAACCUCUUUCGCUCAUGGUCAAGCCGCAACAGUGGUUGUGGUGAGGGUAGUGGGUAAAGAAGCGCCGGCUAACUACGUGCCAGCAGCCGCGGUAAUACGUAGGGCGCGAGCGUUGUCCGGAAUUAUUGGGCGUAAAGGGCUUGUAGGCGGUUGGUCGCGUCUGCCGUGAAAUCCUCUGGCUUAACUGGGGGGCGUGCGGCGGGUACGGGCUGACUUGAGUGCGGUAGGGGAGACUGGAACUCCUGGUGUAGCGGUGGAAUGCGCAGAUAUCACGAAGAAACACCGGUGGGCGAAGGCGGGUCUCUGGGCCGUGCUGACGCUGAGGAGCGAAAACCUGGGGAGCGAACAAGAAUAGAUACGCUUGUAGUUGGAGGGGAGAAUUCCAGAGUGGGAGAUGCGGGUGUCGGUCCCCCCCACGGCGAGGGGGGGGCCGGGAGCCGGCUUAUCCCCCCUUUUCCUUUAUUUAUUGC
rnacentral:rRNA from 1 species